rnacentral:rRNA from 1 species
GACGAACGCUGGCGGCGUGCUUAACACAUGCCAGUCGAACGGAAAGGCCCUGCUUUUGUGGGGUGCUCGAGUGGCGAACGGGUGAGUAACACGUGAGUAACCUGCCCUUGACUUUGGGAUAACUUCAGGAAACUGGGGCUAAUACCGGAUAGGAGCUCCUGCUGCAUGGUGGGGGUUGGAAAGUUUCGGCGGUUGGGGAUGGACUCGCGGCUUAUCAGCUUGUUGGGGGGGUAGUGGCUUACCAAGGCUUUGACGGGUAGCCGGCCUGAGAGGGUGACCGGCCACACUGGGACUGAGAUACGGCCCCGACUCCUACGGGCGGCAGCAGUGGGGAAUAUUGCACAAUGGGCGGAAGCCUGAUGCAGAAACGCCGCGUGCGGGAUGACGGCCUUCCGGUUGCAACCCGCUUUCGCCUGUACCGAAGCGUGAGUGACGGUAAUGGGUAAAGAAGCACCGGCUAACUACGUG